rnacentral:rRNA from 1 species
GACGAACGCUGGCGGCGCGCCUAACACAUGCAAGUCGAGCGGAGAUAUUUGAAGGAAGUUUUCGGAUGGAAUUUGGGUAUUUUAGCGGCGGACGGGUGAGUAACGCGUGAGUGACCUGCCUUCCACAGGGGGAUAACGUACCGAAAGGUACACUAAUACCGCAUGAGACCACAGCAAUGCCUGGUGCAGGGGUCAAAGGAGCAAUCCGGUGGAAGAUGGACUCGCGUUCGAUUAGAUAGUGGGUGGGGUAACGGCCUACCAAGUCAGCGAUCGGUAGCCGAGCUGAGAGAGUGAUCGGGCACAUUGGAGCUGAGAGACGGGGCAAACUCCUACGGGAGGCAGCAGUGGGGGAUAGUGGGCAAUGGGGGAAACCCUGACCCAGCGACGCCGCGUGAGGGAAGAAGGUUUUCGGAUUGUAAACCUCUGUUCUUGGUGAAGAGGGAAAGACGGUAGCCAAGGAGGAAGCCCCGGCUAACUACGUGCCAGCCGCCGCGGUAA